UGUCAGAUGUGCGCGUUAGGGAUAGAAGCGAAAAGCCCACAGCCUGACGAAGGAAGUGCGAGGACUUGCAGCGGAUAGCCCGACCGGAG
rnacentral:misc_RNA from 1 species